GUGGCUGUAGCUCAGCUGGCAGAGCGCCACCUUGCCAAGGUGGAGGUCGCCGGUUCGAUCCCGGUCAGCCACU
rnacentral:tRNA from 1 species